GCUUGGGCCCCACAGCACAGAAGCGACCACCAUGAAAGACGGAAGUCGGGGGUCGCCGAGAUCGGGGCCGAGCGGAGAGGCGGUGAAAGGAACGCCCCGAGGCGCCGGAGCGGUUGCAAUGGAAGGAGCCGGAACGUCACGUGAUCCGGUUUGGCAGGUCACAUGACGAGGAGCCCCCAGCGGCUGGUUUUUGGGGAAGGCGUCUAGGUCGCGGAGGUCCUGGUCACCUUGGAGGUGGGCUCCCAGUAGCAGGGGAUUGGAACCGACUUUCCCCCUCAGAUGCUGUACUUUCGGGUGGUAUCUAUCCUGUGGGGGACAUAGAAAUUCACGCCGAGAGAGGACGCCCGUUUCCCCGCGCAUCCCGACCCUUAAACAGAGAUUCCGGCGCAGUACAAGGACAUGAGACCCUUCCUGAGGUCGAGCGGACGGUUGCGGCCAGAACGCUUUCAAAUUGCGGAGCGUUCUGGGCAUUGGGAAUACUUGAGUGACGUUUGCUACCAAACAUGGAAUACUAAGAGGGUUUGGAUGCCAAAUCCAGGAAAAAUAUGGGCGUCAGGAAAAGCCGAGGGAAAGUAGACUGUGGGUAGGUUGUGAAGGUGCGUGGUCCUGCUAAAUGUACUGGAGAAAGACAUAAUACACAAAACAUCCCUUUGCUUCCCUACUGCAAACUAAGGAAACGGAUGAUAGGCCCUUUGAAUAAGGUAGGGGACACGACUUUAAAAAUAUGAGGAAGUCAUUCACUCCAAAGAAAAAGCUUGUAUACUUCACUGGUAAGAGGCAGGUUUGUAAUAAUCACUCAGGGAAAUGCAUGUUUGAAGAACACAGUUCUGUUCUGAGCUUGUACCCAGCCUAGUGAAGACAGUGAUCAAAGCAUGAUUGAGAGGGGCCAUUCUGAACCCACGACAAACAAACCGUGGUCAGUAUAAUUUUGUGGUACUUUGUCACUUAUUUUGUGCAUAUUGUUCUGAAAAGGGUAAUGAGAGAGGACAUAGAACCUGGAUCACAGGUAGUGACUGCAGUGUACUAAAGGGACUGGGAAAAUGGCCUUGAGACAUGAAUUUCAUGUCUCUCUUGUUUGAGACUAUUUGGGGAAGGAAACCAAAAGAUUUUAGUCUGCUCUAGGAGCACCUUUUGUAUUCCAGGACUUUUGGGGGUAGGUGUGUGAAUAGCGGUGGAGGGAAAGUUGCAAAAGAACAGAAUCAGGAAUUUUUAAGUUGCCCACCAAGCAUGAAGUCUAGCUCCUGGGAAAGGAGAAUUAGUUGAGGUAGUUCACUUCUCCAAGAAAUCCCCCCACCCACCCCUGAGAGCAUUCUCUGGAUGUUUGCAAGUAGAGUCAGUGCUUCAGGCCAGAUCAGGCAGCCUUGUCCAGGUACUGCCCCUGAGGGCCACAUUCAGCCUGCAGCCUGUGCACGUCUCUAGCAAAGCACAGGGGUAUUAGUUUUGUUUUGUUUUUGUAUUUUUAAAUGUAAAACAAAAGAAGAAUAUUUUGUGACACGUGAAGUUCACAUUUCACUGAGCAUGAAUAAAGUUUUAUUGGAACACA